UGAUGGGAAACUGUCACGUACGGUUCGGAGGGCAGGGUAACCAAUCCUCUGACCCUAC
rnacentral:ncRNA from 1 species